rnacentral:lncRNA from 13 species
CGCCAACGCGACGGGACGUGACGUCACGACCAUAGCGUCGGUAUGAAGUUGCCCACUUAUUGCGAAGGAGUUUUGUGUGAAACGCAUCCGGCUGUUACAUUAUUUUGGGAAUCGUUUACCGCGAUUGUUGUAUCACGAAGAUUGAUUUGAUCGCGUCCUCGAUUUUUAUCGGCCUCGGGCACUCUGUAUUGAAUGAACGGGGUCCACUGCAGAUUAGUUUGAUCGCGUUUUCGCGAGUGUUGCUGACGAGUGUGCGACGGGAAAGCGCGAGACGACGGCGAAGCCUGGAAGACAUCAAGAGCAUCUUCAAGAUCAUCUUCGGGGCAUCGGUGAGUCAAAUCGAGAUUAAAUCCGAGUGUUUAAUCGCGGUUGUUGUGUCACGAUUGAUUUAAUCGUGUUUUCGCGAGUGUGACUUGUCAGGAUGAGCAUGCGAUGGAGGAACGUGAGACGACGACGAAGUCUGGGAGACAUCCAAGUUCGUUGGUAGGGCAUCUCCGAGAUUAUCGUCGGGAUAUCUAAGCACACCACUAGGGGAACGGGCUAAUGAAUUCUGGCAGAGGGUGUCGGGCCGUAAAUCCCUCGGUUUGCAGCGCGCACGACGAGACGUCGAAGAGAGCUCGAGCGGAUGGAAGAGCAGGAAGAGGAAGAGGAGGAGGAGGAGGAGAGAAUGACGAGACGGGGACGAGAAAGUCGAAGUAUCGCUGGAUUUCUAGUGCACGAUGUACUCGGCGGGUGACGAGAUCGAUGCUUCCUGUCUGCUCGUCUAGAGCUUUGGCCCCUUUACGAGGUAUCAGUAACGCUACUGCAGCUUGUAACAAAAUUUUUAAAAGCGUCGAUCGAAGAUCAAAGGCGAUCGUAAUGCCGACAUUUGAUUGCUCGUCAUCGUGACAAGCAGGUGACAGGUACAAAGGGAUCGACGCAAUUCCAUGGUGAUUGGCUUCUGUCGCCGAUGAUUGCGAUAGAAAUACGUGAAGCAAAUUCGAGGAAUCUUCGGACCAAACUUUAAACGUCAAAUUAUUUGUCAGAUGUGCGUUAAUGAAGAAAAAUAUUAUAUUACUUUUAAUGUAAUUUGAGACCGUU